AACGAACGCUGGCGGCAUGCCUAACACAUGCAAGUCGAACGAGACCUUCGGGUCUAGUGGCGCACGGGUGCGUAACGCGUGGGAACCUGCCCUUAGGUUCGGAAUAACUCCCCGAAAGGGGUGCUAAUACCGGAUAAUGUCUUCGGACCAAAGAUUUAUCGCCUUUGGAUGGGCCCGCGUUGGAUUAGCUAGUUGGUAGGGUAAAAGCCUACCAAGGCGACGAUCCAUAGCUGGUCUGAGAGGAUGAUCAGCCACACUGGGACUGAGACACGGCCCAGACUCCUACGGGAGGCAGCAGUGGGGAAUAUUGGACAAUGGGCGAAAGCCUGAUCCAGCAAUGCCGCGUGAGUGAUGAAGGCCUUAGGGUUGUAAAGCUCUUUUACACGGGAUGAUAAUGACAGUACCGGGAGAAUAAGCUCCGGCUAACUACGUG
rnacentral:rRNA from 1 species